rfam:Triticum urartu cultivar G1812 contig896828, whole genome shotgun sequence.
AUCAUACUUCCUCCGUCCAAAAAUACUUGUCAUCAAAAUGGAUAAAAGGAGAUGCAUCUAGAAUUAAAAUAUAUCUAUAUACAUCCCUUUUUAUCCAUUUUAAUGACAAGUAUUUCCGGACGAAGGGAAUACCAA